rnacentral:rRNA from 1 species
AACGAACGCUGGCGGCAGGCUUAACACAUGCAAGUCGAGCGCGCAUUUCGGUGCGAGCGGCGGACGGGUGAGUAAUGCAUGCAGAUAUACCCUAUGGAACCGAAUAACGUCUGGAAACGGGCGCUAAGACGGUAUAAGCACUGAGGUGGAAACAUUUAUGGCCAUAGGAUUAUUUCAUGUCAGAUUAGCUAGUUGUUGGGGUAAAGGCUCAACAAGGCGAUGAUCUGUAGCCGGCCUGAGAGGGUGAUCGGCCACACCGGGACUGAGACACGGCCCGGACUCCUACGGGAGGCAGCAGUGGGAAUCUUGGACAAUGGGGGCAACCCUGAUCCAGCCAUGCCGCGUGCGUGAAGAAGGCCUUAGGGUUGUAAAGCGCUUUUAUCGGGGAUGAUAAUGACCGUACCCGAUGAAUAAGCCCCGGCUAACUCCGUGCCAGCCGCCGCGGUAAU